CACGCAGGCGGUCGUGUAAGUUUGGGGUUACAGCUCCCGGCUCAACUGGGAGAGCGCCUUGAAGACUGCAGGACUUGAGGGCCAGAGAGGGACACAGAAUUCCGGGUGUAGUGGUGAAAUGCGUAGAUAUCCGGAGGAAUACCAAAGGCGAAGGCAGUGUCCUGGCUGGUGACUGACGCUGAGGUGCGAAAGCUAGGGGAGCGAACGGGAUUAGAUACCCCGGUAGUCCUAGCCGUAAACGAUGACCACUAGGUGUGGGAGGUAUCGACCCCUUCCGUGCCGCACGCUAACGUGAUAAGUGGUCCGCCUGGGGAGUACGGUCGCAAGAUUAAA
rnacentral:rRNA from 1 species